GACGAACGCUGGCGGCGUGCUUAACACAUGCAAGUCGAACGGAAAGGCCCUGCUUUUGUGGGGUGCUCGAGUGGCGAACGGGUGAGUAACACGUGAGUAACCUGCCCUUGACUUUGGGAUAACUUCAGGAAACUGGGGCUAAUACCGGAUAGGAGCUCCUGCUGCAUGGUGGGGGUUGGAAAGUUUCGGCGGUUGGGGAUGGACUCGCGGCUUAUCAGCUUGUUGGUGGGGUAGUGGCUUACCAAGGCUUUGACGGGUAGCCGGCCUGAGAGGGUGACCGGCCACAAUGGGACUGAGAUACGGCCCAGACGCCUACGGGAGGCAGCAGUGGGGAAUAUUGCACAAUGGGCGGGAGCCUGAUGCGGCAACGCCGCGUGCGGGAUGACGGCCUUCGGGUUGUAAACCGCUUUCGCCUGUGACGAAGCGUGAGUGACGGUAAUGGGUAAAGAAGCACCGGCUAACUACGUG
rnacentral:rRNA from 1 species